CUUGGUUGAUCCUAUCAGUAGUCAUAUAAUUGUCUCAAAGAUUAAGCCAUGCAUGUCUAAGUAUGAACUAAUUCAGGCUGUGAAACUGCAGAUGGCUCAUUGAAUCAGUUAUAAAUUUUUUGAUGGUACCAUACUACUCUGACAACUAUAGUAAUUCUAGAGCUAAUAUGUGCACCAAGUCCCGACUCUUUGGAAGGGAUGCAUUUUUUAGAUAAAAGGCUAGUGCAGGCUUGCUCGCUUCUCCUGUGAAUCAUGAUAACUCGACGGAUUGCACAACCCUUGUGUUGGCGAUGCUUCAUUCAAAUUUCUGCCCUAUCAAGUUUUGAUGGUAGGAUAGAGGCCUACCAUGGUGGUGAUGGGUGACGGAGAAUUAGGAUUCGAUUCUAGAGAGGGAGCCUGAGAAACGACGAUCACAUCCAAGGAAGGUAGCAGGCAUGCAAAUUACCCAAUCCUGACAUGGGGAGGUAGUGAGAAUAUAUAACAAUACUGGGCUCAUUGAGUCUGGUAAUUGGAAUGAGUACAAUCUAAAUCCGUUAACGAGGAUCUGUUGGAGGGCAAGUCUGGUGCUAGCACCCACAGUAAUUUAGCUCCAAUAGCAUAUCUUUAAGUUGUUGCAGUUAAAAAGCUCGUAGUUGGAUCUUGGGUCAUAAAGGUUGGUAUAUGUACUCAGUGUGCACCUGCCCUUCUUUUCCUUUUGUCGGCAAUGUACUUGUGGCCUUAAUUGGCUAGGUUGUGGCUCUGGUGUUGUUACUUUGAAAAAAUUAGAGUUAUCAAAGCAACCUUAUGCUCUGAAUACAUUAGCAUGGAAUAAUGUGAUAGGAGUUUGGUCCUAUUGUGUUGGCCUUGAGGACCGGAGUAAUGAUUAAUAGGGACUGUCGGGGGCAUUUGUAUUUCAUUGUCAAAGGUGAAAUUCUUGGAUUUAUGAAAGAUGGACCACUGCGAAAGCAUUUGCAAAAUGUUUUCAUUAAUCAAGAACGAAUGUUGGGGGCUCGAAGAUGAUCAGAUACUGUCCUAGUGUCAACCAUAAAUGAUGCCGAACAGGGAUCAGCGGAUGUUGCUCUAAGGAAUCUGACAGCACCUUCUAAGAAAUCAAAGUGUUUGGGUUCCGAGGGGAGUAUGGUCGCAAGGCUGAAACUUAAAGGAACUGAUGGAAGGGCACUACCAAGAGUGGAUCCUGUGGCUUAAUUUGACUCAACACAGGGAAACUUACAUUGUAAGGAUUGACAGAUUGAGAGCUCUUUCUUGGUUCUAUGGGUGGUGGUGCAUGGGCGUUCUUAGUUGGUGGAGUGAUUGGUCUGGUUAAUUCUGAUAACGAACGAGACCUCAGCCUGCUAACUAGCUAUGUGGAGGUUCCCCUUCACAUCCAGCUUCUUAGAGGGACUAUGGCUAUUUAAGCCAUGGACGUUUGAGGCAAUAACAAGUUUGUGAAGCCCUUAGAUGUUCUGGGCCGCAUGCGCACUACACUGAUGCAUCCAAUGAGUUUUUCUUCUUGGUUUGAGAGGAUAAGGAAAUCUUCUCAAAUUGCAUCAUGAUGGGGAUAUACCAUUGCAAUUAGUGGUCUUAAAUGAGGAAUUCCUAGUAAGCGUGUGUCAUCAACUUGUGUUGACUACGUCCCUACCUUUUGUACACACCACCCAUCGCUCCUACCAAUGGAAUUAUCUGGUGAAGUGCUCAGAUUGCAUCAACGAUGGUGAUUCAUCGUUGUUGACAUCGUGAGAAGUUCAUUGAACCUUAUCAUUUAGAGGAAGGAGAAGUUGUAACAAGGUUACCAUAGGUGAACCUGCGGUAG
rnacentral:rRNA from 1 species